UCCCAGUUCGGAUUGUAGUCUGCAACCCGACUACAUGAAGCUGGAAUCGCUAGUAAUCGCAGGUCAGCAUACUGCGGUGAAUACGUUCCCGGGUCUUGUACACACCGCCCGUCACACCAUGGGAGCCGGAAAUGCCCGAAGCCAGUGACCCAACCUUAGGGAGGGAGCUGUCGAAGGUGGAGCCGGUAACUGGGGUGAAGUCGUAACAAGGUACC
rnacentral:rRNA from 1 species